GAUCUUCUGGUUAAUUCGACUUUCGGGUCUGAAUAUAUAUUUACUGGUUAUGCAUUUCUUUACUGAAAUUUCAAUUUUCUUUUCUCUCGUGUUUUGAUUAAUUUCUUUAUGCUUGAUUUUGCUAUUUUCUUCAUUGAGAAAUCAAUAAUUAUAAAUCUUAAUUCAAAAUGUGGGGUGAUGAAGAAGGGUUUGGAAUAUUUUGAAACUUGAAACCGAAUAACUUCUAUUGUUUGAGCAAUUGUUGAAGGCCUUGACAUAAUUUACUGGCUGCAACAAAAUCAAUUUCCAUUUCAUGUAAUGUUUCAUUGUCCAUGAUUACACAAUACAAAUGGCCUGUUACAACUUUUCUCAUUUUCCCCAUUCAGGAAAGAUCUUUUAUUUAUUUUUCUCCGGAAGCUUGCCUCUAUUUAAAGUUUUGUGGCUUUAUUUAGGGUAAAGCAAGAUGUUGCUGAACUUGUACAGAGUUCCAUGUAGUCAUGUUUUCUAUCUUGUGGGUUUAGAAUUAAGUUGCACAUGCAUGAUUCACUGAGCUGAAAGAGUAUUUUAAGUGAGAAAUUAUCUUUUUAUGUACGUUUGAAGCCAUUGUCUUAAAAUUAUAUGUUUUUCUUUUCUUAAUUCUUUCCAGUUUACUGUUUAAUGCUAGAUGAAACUUGUGGCAAUUAACUUUUCUUUUACCUUAUUUUUCCUUUAAAUGUCUGAAAUUUUGCAAUAUAUGGUUCUUCUGUUUUUAUUGUAAAUGCAGCCGGGUCCGCGUGACUUACCCCACCAAUGUCUAAUAAAACGGAAUAAGAAGACUUCAACGUUUUACCUCUAUCUUGCUCUUCCUCCAUGUAAGUAGCUGUUGGUGGACUUAUUUUUACAACUAAAAGUGGAAGUAAGAAGCUUCUUUGGAGGAUUUACUUGUAUGCGUAUUGUACAGCUGCAUAAUUUUGACUGGGUAAUUGUUAAUGAAGAACUUGCUGGUACCAAAAUUGAAAGGGAAAGGAUUUAUUGUCAAACCUUUAGAUCGACUUCUCUCUAUAUGGAGGAUAUGACAGUUUAUCAGAAAAGGCUCUUCUAAGUCAACUUGACUUGGUCUAAAAUUGAUAUUAUUGACUUCCCAACAGAAAAUCUUGUUUCAUUUAAUUGUCUCACCUAAAUAUUGACUAACAUGAUAACCUCUAAUUAAACAUAACAAGACAAUCUUUGAGUUUUAUAGCUGUUAUGUAAUAAAGUAAAAUUUUGAUAUUAAAACUAUUAACUGUUAAAUUUCUUUCUUUUUUUUUAGUACGCUACUAUUUUAUGGUUAUAAGAGUUCCAUCAGACGACAUAUUAUAGAGUUUGAGAACACUGGUAAAUUUUAAUUGGAAAGGUUAUACGGCAUAAUGAAUCUUUUGUAAUGAAGAAUUUUAUUAAUGUGAGAGGUUUAUAUAUUGUCAAAAUUUAUUUUACGUGGACUUUUAUCAAUUUUGUUAUUAUCUGUUGAGUUCUUCUAGCAUAUAUAUCUUCUAGUUGUUUUCUGUUGGCCCCAUAUAAAUUAUAGUAUAAUGUAAAUAGUUGAAGUUAGCUCAAGAGUUUCAUUUUAUUCUUCUUCCUAGCAUUUAUGGACAAGGGGAAGUUUCUUCUAGCAGCAAGGAGGUAUAGACAUGGUGCUCACACAGAGUAUAUCAUCUCACUUGAUGCUGAUGACUUAUCACAAGGGAGCAAUGCUUAUGUUGGAAAGUUAAGGUAAGGUACUAUAUUGAUAUAGGUUCUGGUGAGACUUUUUGAGAAGUGCUGGCUUGAGUUUUCAAAUUCUUUUAAAAUGCUAAAAAUCUGGAGAGCUUUUAUUCUUCCCUUUUUCUUUUUCAAUCAUGGUGAAACUUUUAGUUUUAAAAUUCAUGGUUACUUGCCUACAUCUUUUCAAUGGACUUGCAUUCCUUUAGGGGAUGUUAAGGAGUUCCAAGUUUCAACAUGCCUCUUCCUGUCAAUUAGAAAAUUCACUUACCAAAAUAGGCAAGUAAUUUAUUCACGGACGAGAAGUGGUUAUGUAUACAUUAACAGAUACAAUGAAUUAAAACUGUUCAACUUUUCAUUAAUAGUGCGGUCUGUUUUAGGUUUCUUUGCACCCUCUUGUCUAUGUUUAACUUAGUACUUUGCAUGUCUGCUUGGUAUCCUUCUUGGACAUCCUGUUGUGUGAUCUGUUUGCUCUCAUAUGGCAAUGGGAAAAUAAUGAAAGUAAAUGUGCUUUAGGUGAAAAUUCAUCUUCAGCUGGAAAGUGAUGACAGAUUUGCUAUUUUACUAUGAUACUAUAGGUGUCAUGUAAACAAAAAGUAGCCCUUUAUAGGUUAGUGAUAGACUUUGGCUGCAGAUGAACUACAUUUUGUUUUUAAUAUUGUUGCAAAUUUUAUUAUUAUACUACAUUGUCCCCUGUGCACUCAUUAUAUGUAGUAUUGUCAAGGUUAGCUAGUUCGUUGUUGAUGGGAGCUUGUUUUUACUCUUUGCACUCAUCAUGGGAAUCUUUUGAGGAAGAUCCUAAUUCAAAGUGUUUUAUGGUUUAAAAUUACCAUGUUGGUUGGGUUUAAUAAAUUCUUAUAAUAUCAGUCAAUACACAAUUGACUAAGUGCGAGUAUUCUGUUUCUGGUUUUCUUUCUUUUAACUUCAUUUACUUAUUUUAUUUUUUUAUCGUUGAGACAUGAGGUGGAAAUGGGGGUGGAUGGAAUAGGAUUGUUUGAGCCAUUUUGAUUAUGACCAUUAGAUGGAAAAUAAAAUUCUAAUGUUCAAUCAAAAUUUUACAGUUCGGACUUUCUUGGCACCAAUUUUACAAUCUAUGAUAGCCAGCCUCCACACAGUGGUGCUAAGCCAUCUAGCAGCAGAGCUAGCCGCCGAUUUGCAAGCAAGCAAAUAAGCCCCCAGGUCCCUGCAGGAAAUUUCAAGGUUGGACAGGUCUCUUACAAAUUUAACCUCUUAAAAUCAAGAGGUCCAAGAAGGAUGGUUUGCUCACUAAAGUGUCCACUAUCGCAAGUGAAUACUAAUGACAAACAUUUUGAUGAAUUGCAAGUAAAUACUAAUGACAAACAUCUUGAUGACUCCAAGAUGAAGGAAACAGAGUCUUCUAUUAGUGGCUGCACAGUAUUGCGCAACAAGGCUCCAAGGUGGCAUGAACAUUUGCAAUGCUGGUGUUUGAAUUUCCAUGGCCGGGUAACUGUAGCAUCAGUGAAAAACUUUCAAUUGGUUGCCACUCUGGACCAAAGUCAGCCAGGAGGGAAAGGUGAUGAGGAGACGGUACUCUUGCAGUUUGGGAAGGUAGGAGAUGAUACUUUCACCAUGGAUUAUCGGCAGCCUUUGUCCGCUUUUCAAGCAUUUGCAAUAUGUCUUACGAGCUUCGGCACAAAACUGGCAUGUGAGUAGGUUAUGUGUUAUUAUAAUUAUUGAAGCUGUGAGUUCUGUUUCAAUGUUCUAAUUUUAGUAGUUGGUUUCAGAUCAUUUUACAAUGUUGGUUUGGUUGAGGAAGCCGAUGAUGUAAAUGUUGCUAUUGUAUUAAUGUAAAGACAGGACUCAAAAUUAUUGGUUCCCAAUUUACAUUUAGCAAGGAUAAUGUUUAUUUCUGCCUUGUUUAUAUGGUUGUAUGUGUAUACGUUUAAGUAUUAUUUUUUUUUUCUUUUCCUUUUCUUUUUAAUUUAAAAGCACUGUAGACAUUUUGAUCACUUCUCACUGGGUACAUGGUUUGGGUUGUAGAUAGAAGUUUGGGUUCUGUAGAAGUUGGAAUUCAAACAUAACACCACCUAAUAUUAAAAGGGCACGCAGUAUUUAGCUUUAAAAUCAUUUUUUUUUUCUUUUUCCUCUUCAGAUCUGGCUUAUUUGUUAUAUUUGCAUGGUUUUUUUUUUGACAAAAAAAAAAAAAAAAAAAAAAAAUAGAAACUACUAGGUGUGUUAGUCACCCCGUCGGCUAGGGCCGCCGUUUGCACGUUUUAAUUUUAAUUUUAUUUUUUUACAAAGGCUAAAUGAUUAAGAAAAUGUUUUAAUUUUAGUUUUAUUUUUUUACAAAGGCUAAAUGAUUAAGAAAAGACUUGAACUUGCUAAUUCUUUUAAGGGUUAAUUUGCUAAUUCUUUUAAGGGUUAAUUGUAUUAGUUGUAUUUCAACUUUUUAAUUUUCUCGGAAGAAGGUUGAAUUUGGGUUGAAUAUAUAAAAAGAAAACUCAAUUUUCACUUUUUCCAAUUUGGUCACCAAUUUGUACCUAUAUCAGCAAUUCACCCCUUUUCUUUUUCUGGUCAGAGGAUGUGAGCUUCACACAAUUAACAGAUUCAAAAGAAAUAAUAAUAAAUUUAACUUCUACAAUGCCAAGAUAACUUAAAAGUGAAAGAAACUUUGCAAGUUAAACCUAUCAGAGAAUGCUCUUUCCACUGUUGCCAUAGUUAAAACCAUUCUUUGGCAUAUUUUCUAUUGAACCCAUCAGUAUUAAAUGGAUUGAUAGUUUCACUCCAUAAUUGUCAAAAUCUUAUCUAAUCACAUUUGAAUUUUCUCCAUACCUAGUAAAGCCUGUAACAAAAUGCAUUCUCCUCAUAAUUGAAUAAGAGUUCAUUUGAUUUAGCUAAUUUUUUCCAAGAUUCAGAAAAACAAACCACCUUCUAAAUCAAGUUGCAGAGAGCACGAAUCAAUUCUUUAAUGGCACAAGGAAGACAUAUCAAAAACCCAUUUUAUACACUCUGACGUCCUUAAUUUUUCACUUUGUUUUUAUCUCUUGGUUAACUUCGCUUCUCUUCUCUUCUCUCCCUAAAAAUGUUCAAGAAACCAUACUAAUUUCGCUACACCAUCAACAACAAUUACAAGAACUCUCUCACUUCUUUCUUUUAUUUUAUUUUUCUUUAUCUUGGGUAUUUCCUUUUUAAGUGUCAUACCUUAAUUCUAUUACGGCUGUGUUUCAUGUUCUUUAAUUUUUCUUUCAUGGCCACUUUUUUUCUUCUAAAUCAAAUUCACAGCUUCAUACCACUCUCACCGUUGACCCCUGCUGCUUUUUUUAUUUUUUCUUUUUUUGUUGAAGUUUGAAGUUUUGGGUGGUUGAAUGUCACGUGCCUGAGUCUGGGACCUAGUUGUGGGUCUAUGAAGAGGAAAAUGAUCUCUUUUUAGACUGGUGAUACUUGUGUUUACCCAUGGUGUUUUAAUAGAAAAUAAAGCGUAAUAGCUUUGGUUUAAUUCAAGAAAAACUAGACCUUCAAGAUUCUCACAUAGAGUAAAAGACAAAUAUAUUGAAAUUUUGCAAUAUAUAGUUCUUUUGUUGUUAUUGUAAAUGCUUCAUUGUCCAUGAUUACACAAUACAAAUGGCCUGUUACAAAUUUUCUCAUUUUCCCCAUUCAGGAAAGAUCUUUUAUUUAUUUU
rnacentral:lncRNA from 1 species